AACCCAUGUUGAGAACAUUUCCACAAGAGUUCCUUGAACCUAUCCCAUGUCUCAAAAAGAGACUCCAAUUCUUUUUGCACAAAAGAGGAUAUUUUAUUCCUAAGCUU